AGUGAACGCUGGCGGUAGGCCUAACACAUGCAAGUCGAACGGCCGCACAGUAAGAGCUUGCUCUUACGGGUGGCGAGUGGCGGACGGGUGAGGCAUACAUCGGAAUCUACUUUUUCGUGGGGGAUAACGUAGGGACACUUACGCUAAUACCGCAUACGACCUACGGGUGAAAGCAGGGGAUCUUCGGACCUUGCGCGAUUGAAUGAGCCGAUGUCGGAUUAGCUAGUUGGCGGGGUAAAGGCCCACCAAGGCGACGAUCCGUAGCUGGUCUGAGAGGAUGAUCAGCCACACUGGAACUGAGACACGGUCCAGACUCCUACGGGAGGCAGCAGUGGGGAAUAUUGGGCAAUGGGCGAAAGCCUGAUCCAGCCAUACCGCGUGAGUGAAGAAGGCCUUCGGGUUGUAAAGCCCUUUUGUUGGGAAAGAAAAGCAGCAGGUUAAUACCCCGCUGUUCUGACGGUACCCAAAGAAUAAGCACCGGCUAACUUCGUG
rnacentral:rRNA from 1 species